AUAAAACCUCUCAGAAAUAUUGCUCUAAGGAUUCUGUAAUUCAUUGUAACUCCCAGCCCUAAUAACUACAAGGUGAUUUUUCAUAGAUUUCUAAAAUUGGCAGGCUAAUAUUUCUUGGAUCAGUCAGAAAAGAAAUACUGCUCUAUCCUUUGCUUAUCCUUUCCCCAUCAACAAGUGUAAUUACAAAACCAUAUUUCCCCAGCCCAGGAUUUCAGGAUUCCCUGUCAGAGCCGUUCUCCCAUCCUCCAGGAGCCAAUCUGAAUCCAGGGGAAUGUCAACUGAUUCAUCUCCCAUCCCUGAUGGCCAUAACUUCCAUUCCUACCUAUCAAAUAUCUGUCACAGCUGGAAGGGAUGAAAAGCAGAGAUACUCUCACAAACCUUAAACUGAAAGACGUUCAUACUGAGGAGAAAAAAAGAGCUACAGAAGUUUCCAUUCUCCCCAGAGAGAGUGGGACACAGGAACCUCUGAACUCUGCAAACAGAGCAUCAGCUCCAGAAAAAAAAACCACCUUCUGCUGAUGGAGGGAUCUGUCUGGCACCAUUUAUUGCUGUCAUUUAAUCAGCUCAGAGGUUGAACCUGCACUGGGAAACAGCCACCUCUAUGGAAGUCAUGAGUGUGAUGUGGAAGAAAAAUGGGAUUCCUAAGCCAAAAAGAGGAAGGCCCUUUCCUCACAAAGGUUAUGGACGCUUUUAAUUCCAAAGCCCCAUGUGCCAGGGCUGCAAUAAUUGAUGCUGGAACUUGACAAGCCAGAUCAAUGAUUAAUGCACUGGUUUUCUGUCCUCCACAUGUAUCUGCAGCCUGUGCCCAAACCUCAUUUCUGAGCUGGAGUGCUCCCAGGCAGCCUGUGGGCAGGGAAGGAGCUCUGCCCCUGUUCCCUCUGCAUCCCCAGCUCCCAGGGCAUCCCUUCAAGCCUCCUGCCAGCCCAUGCCUGCAGCACGAGAUGCAGCAGCUCCUCUCUGCCACCUCAGCCCCUGGACAAAGCCCUGCAUCAUCCAGGGCUGCUUUAAGCCACCCUGCCCUCCAUCUCAGCUCCUCUUGUGACAUUUGGACAUUUCUGGCUCAUGAGCCGAGCUGCUCCUGCUGCUGACGUGUGUCGGUGCUCCCAAGGGAUGUCAGCCCAUUGCUGUGCUGCAGCUUCAGCUUCUCCUGGAAUGAUCAAGGCUUUAUUAGACCCUGACUAGGAGCUGACUCAAUUCGGGAUUGAUUGAAGCGU
rnacentral:lncRNA from 1 species